UGUGCCAAACAAGUUGGAAGUGCCGAAUGCGGAUUUUAUGUGAUGAAAUACAUAUUUGAAAUACUUUCCAAAGAAGCAUACAAAGGAAUGAAUAAGGAAAUGAAGAGAAUUGGUUCAU